UGAGGAAUAUUGGUCAAUGGGCGGAAGCCUGAACCAGCCAAGUAGCGUGAGGGAUGACUGCCCUAUGGGUUGUAAACCUCUUUUAUAAGGGAAUAAAAUACGGGACGUGUCCUGUUUUGCAUGUACCUUAUGAAUAAGGACCGGCUAAUUCCGUGCCAGCAGCCGCGGUAAUACGGAAGGUCCGGGCGUUAUCCGGAUUUAUUGGGUUUAAAGGGAGCGCAGGCGGUCUUAUAAGCGUGACGUGAAAUGCAGCGGCUCAACCUCUGCACUGCAGCGCGAACUGGUCUUCUUGAGUACGCACAACGUGGGCGGAAUUCGUGGUGUAGCGGUGAAAUGCUUAGAUAUCACGAAGAACUCCGAUUGUGAAGGCAGCUCACGGGAGCGCAACUGACGCUGAAGCUCGAAAGUGCGGGUAUCGAACAGGAUUAGAUACCCUGGUAGU
rnacentral:rRNA from 1 species